rnacentral:rRNA from 1 species
AUUGAACGCUGGCGGCAGGCCUAACACAUGCAAGUCGAACGGUAACAGGAAGAAGCUUGCUUCUUUGCUGACGAGUGGCGGACGGGUGAGUAAUGUCUGGGAAACUGCCUGAUGGAGGGGGAUAACUACUGGAAACGGUAGUUAAUACCGCAUAACGUCGCAAGACCAAAGAGGGGGACCUUCGGGCCUCUUGCCAUCGGAUGUGCCCAGAUGGGAUUAGCUAGUAGGUGGGGUAACGGCUCACCUAGGCGACGAUCCCUAGCUGGUCUGAGAGGAUGACCAGCCACACUGGAACUGAGACACGGUCCAGACUCCUACGGGAGGCAGCAGUGGGGAAUAUUGCACAAUGGGCGCAAGCCUGAUGCAGCCAUGCCGCGUGUAUGAAGAAGGCCUUCGGGUUGUAAAGUACUUUCAGCGGGGAGGAAGGGAGUAAAGUUAAUACCUUGGCUCAUUGACGUUACCCGCAGAAGAAGCACCGGCUAACUCCGUG